rfam:Salmo salar isolate Sally breed double haploid chromosome ssa06, whole genome shotgun sequence.
GGCUCUGUGGCUCAGUUGGUAGAGCAUGGUGUUUGCAACUCCAGCAUGGUGUGGGCAACGCCAGGGUUGUGGGUUCGAUUCCCACGGGGGCCA